rnacentral:rRNA from 1 species
CAUCCCGAACACGGAAGUUAAGCUUUUCAGCGCCGAUGGUAGUAGGGGGCUUCCCCCUGUGAGAGUAGGUCGUCGCCGGGC